AGUGAACGCUGGCGGUAGGCCUAACACAUGCAAGUCGAACGGCAGCACAGUAAGAGCUUGCUCUUACGGGUGGCGAGUGGCGGACGAGUGAGGAAUACAUCGGAAUCUACUUUUUCGUGGGGGAUAACGUAGGGAAACUUACGCUAAUACCGCAUACGACCUACGGGUGAAAGCAGGGGAUCUUCGGACCUUGCGCGAUUGAAUGAGCCGAUGUCGGAUUAGCUAGUUGGCGGGGUAAAGGCCCACCAAGGCGACGAUCCGUAGCUGGUCUGAGAGGAUGAUCAGCCACACUGGAACUGAGACACGGUCCAGACUCCUACGAGAGACAGCAGUGGGGAAUGUUGGACAAUGGGCGCAAGCCUGAUCCAGCCAUACCGCGUGGGUGAAGAAGGCCUUCGGGUUGUAAAGCCCUUUUGUUGGGAAAGAAAAGCAGCAGGUUAAUACCCCGCUGUUCUGACGGUACCCAAAGAAUAAGCACCGGCUAACUUCGUG
rnacentral:rRNA from 1 species